ensembl:lncRNA
GCCCUCGCUGGAGUGUGCUCCCCGGGAGCCCUUCAAGAGCAACGCACCCUGGAUGCCAUUGUGGAGAAGGAGACGCAUGUGGACAGAGAAUGGCUCUGGAGCUGUGGAGCCUGGUGCAGGAUCUGACUCAGAGACACUCCAUAAACCUUUCUCAAAGAAUAUAUGAAUGCGGCGUGAAAGUGAAGCUGCUGUUUCUGCAGCACAAGGCUGUGGUGAGGAGUCCAUGAAGAGGGGCCCACCAGGCCUCAGGGGCCACUCAUGCCAGGAAGGGGCAGUCAUCCUAGGAGGAGUGGUGCUAUCAGAAGCUACCUCAGGAGAAGAAGCUGAGGCAGGCUGUCCCUGGAGGGCAAGGUCCAAUGCCGGAGACACAAGGUUCAUCAGGAGUCAUCUGCUCUCUGCCAGGCACUGUCCUUGAUGCUGAAGACUCAAGGCCGCUUCACUACAGCCCAGUCCUAAGCAUCCGCCCAUCUCCCAGCAGCCCAGCCAGGUCUCCACUGUUGACCACGACAAGGUCAACAACAAGGUGUCCACCUAGCCUCAUGGGCGCAGGAGGCCUUGCUCUCCCCAAGCUCAAGGUGGCUGCAGUCAGUUCCCACCAGGUGACAGUGAUUGCCUUAGCAGCUGGUGGGCGCUCCCUGCCCCGGAGGCCGCCCACCUUGGGUGGGACACAAGGCAGCAGACAAUGGGAAGGAAUGAGAAUUCGUGAGGCCAGCAAGGGUGGCUGGUGAGAAGGGGGUGGAGGGCGUGGGGGCUGGGUGGAGGCCAGGGAUGCAAAGCAGGUGAGGGUGGGGAGUGCCU